rnacentral:tRNA from 1 species
AGAGAGUUAGCUAAGUGGUUCACAGCACCUGAUUUACAUUCAGGAGAUCGAGAGUUCGACUCUCUCACUCUCUA